UACGAAGGGUGCAAGCGUUACUCGGAAUUACUGGGCGUAAAGCGUGCGUAGGUGGUGAGUUAAGUCUGUCGUGAAAGCCCCGGGCUCAACCUGGGAAUGGCGAUGGAUACUGGCUCGCUAGAGUGCGGUAGAGGAGAGUGGAAUUCCCGGUGUAGCAGUGAAAUGCGUAGAGAUGUGGAGGAACACCGAUGGCGAAGGCAGCCCCCUGGGCUAACACUGACGCUCAGGCACGAAAGCGUGGGGAGCAAACAGG
rnacentral:rRNA from 1 species